rnacentral:lncRNA from 1 species
CAAAUAUUAGGGUUUGAUCUCUUUUGAGGGGUUAGAAACCUAAUUCCUAUGCUUAUAAACGCGUAGGCGAAGACGGUUCGUCGAUCCGACGAGUGAGCGCGAAGAUAUCGCCAUUUGAUGCGCUAAAGGGUUAAAGUUAACCCAACGAAAAUUAAGCGGCGACAAGACUAGCACGAGAACGCGUCUCGGAGUGUUUGCGGCAUCACCCAAGGUGGGGGAGUGCCAUCCCGAAGUCAUCGGGCCACCUUCUAUGUCUAAGUUUUAAUUGAUCUAUUUGCAUAUUGUGCAUGAUACAUAUAGGGUUAGAAAAUGAUUAUUGUUGCUUAUACUUGCAUACUAGUAGUUCAAUAAAUAUAUAUCUUGCUUGGUUGGUUUAUGAUCUAGUAUGCAUGAUGGUUGCUUGAUGAAAACCUAGACCCUAUAUGAGAUGAUUAAUGCUUAUGUUGCUAAAG